GUCCCAGUCAAUGGAUGAAUUUAAUGUGUCAAUCAAUGGCCACAGCCACACUGUUUUGAAUUUCAUUCUAUGUUGGCUUAGCGAGAUGUAGAAAUACACAGGCAAGUUAUUGGAAUAAAAGGGUAAUCUCGAUGCCUCGCGUAGGGUAGGAAUCACGCUUUGAUGACAUUACGCAACCCUGGCGACACUAAUCUGCGCGGUCCGCAUUUUACCUGUUGCAAGGCAAAAAGUCUUCUCCUUUCCAUUAUACACAAAUGGCAGCCCAUAUUUCUCGUCCUUCAUCCCGGUCGGUCUGUCUUGCAGAACCAACCUACUUAUAUUGUAUCAAUCGUUAAUGAGAUAUCGUUCUGAAUAUGCGUGAAAUGUUUGGUACUCGAGAUUAAGCAAGCAACAACUGGUAAAUCAAUAAACUCAUGUAUGAUCAAAAUACCAGGUGUUAUUAGUAGACGCGUGCUGUGUCUACAUAGAACACAUCAAUGGCGACACAAUACAAAAAGUUAGACGGCUAAACUAAUUAAAUAUUCCAAACAAAGGUUUCGUGUCCGAUCGUUAUAGUUUUUUUUUGGGGUUUUUUUUUUUGGCGCAUUUGAAUCAGUUUUCAAUGUAACAUUCAUCCAAUCCUCGGUGCCUUAUUCAUUUGUUGACCUUUUGUUUAAUUUUUUAAAUCCGAAUGUCCUAGCAAAUACCAAAAAAUGAGUUUGAUAUUAUUUCUUUGAAACAGAAACAUUUACCUCCUAGUUUCUUUAACUUUACAUUCUUUUUUUUUCUUUAAUGUUCUUCUACUUACUUAUUUUGAAGUUUUAGCAAUCACUAAUAUUGUCUUCUUAUUUCUUCGUUUAUCUUUAGUAUUGAUUACUAUACUAUAUAUAAAAAUAUUAAUUUUCGCGAACCAUUUAGGUCACGGAAAUUCCAAAAUAUGGCAUCAGUAAGGAGAGUUGUACAAACAAUGUAAAUACACAGAACCCCAUCCAAACUUGCUUUAGCUAAUAGUAUUCAUCUUUUUCUAUUUUAUAUGUACA
rnacentral:lncRNA from 1 species